AAUUUAUCCUAGGAGACUAAACAUACGACCUCUUUUCCCAUUUCCCUCUUUCUCAUUAUUACUCUUUUUUCUUUGAAUCAACUUACCCUAGAAACGUACACUUAAAAUCAAAAAAAAAAUCUGUAAUUUAUUUCUAUUAUUUACCUUUUCAUCCACUAUACUCAAACAAGCAACAAUUACAUGCAGAAAGAAACAUGGAAAACGAAUGCUGAUGUUAGGAAGCCAUCAUGUUAAUCAGCCAUUGUAUCAGUUAUUACCAGCUUACGCACGCUACGUAGCCAGGCCAUACUACCCUUAUCAAAUAGUCAAAUACAGAUGUCUACUAGUAGCAGUUAUGAGCCAAAAGAAGGUUCUCUUUCCUUCUUCAAGGUUGUUCGUUACCCUUCUUCUCCUCAUCUGGCAUUGCCAAAGGUUUUUGUGGAGAGGUAUUUGGACAAGAUCCCUAAAAACCCAAUUCUCACAACUGCAACAGGGGAGCAUUCAUGGAAUUUAAAGAUCACAAAGAUUGGUGAAGAUUACUGUUUUUCUAGCGGGUGGGAUAAAUUGGUCAAAGAUGCCCACUUGUGUAUUAGGGACAUUGUUGUCUUUUGGCUACUUGAUCCCUUCACCUUUCUAGUGUCGUUCUUAGAUGAACAUGGAUGUGAAAAAGAUUUUUAGAACAUAACAUCAUUGUUCAAUUUAUGUGUCUCUAAAUGAUAAUUUAGUUGUGAUUCAUAGUACAUUUUAAAAUGUAAAAAGAGUCUCGUAACUUCUUAAUCAAAAAGCAUUAUUUUUUCAA